rnacentral:rRNA from 1 species
CUACGUGCCAGCAGCCGCGGUAAUACGGAAGGUCCUGGCGUUAUCCGGAUUUAUUGGGUUUAAAGGGAGCGCAGGCUGCACUUUAAGCGUGUUGUGAAAUGUACCGGCUCAACCGGUAACGUGCAGCGCGAACUGGGGUGCUUGAGUACGAAGAGGGAAAGCGGAACUCGUGGUGUAGCGGUGAAAUGCUUAGAUAUCACGAGGAACUCCGAUCGCGAAGGCAGCUUUCCGUUUCGGGACUGACGCUGAGGCUCGAAAGUGCGGGUAUCGAACAGGAUUAGAUACCCUGGUAGUCCGCACGGUAAACGAUGGAUGCUCGCUGUUGGAUAUUUUUAUUCAGUGGCUAAGUGAAAACGUUAAGCAUCCCACCUGGGGAGUACGCCGGCAACGGUGAAACUCAAAGGAAUUGACGGGGGCCCGCACAAGCGGAGGAACAUGUGGUUUAAUUCGAUGAUACGCGAGGAACCUUACCCGGGCUUGAA